rnacentral:rRNA from 1 species
UACUUAGGGUGCGAGCGUUAAUCGGAAUUACUGGGCGUAAAGCGUGCGCAGGCGGUUUUGUAAGCCAGAUGUGAAAUCCCCGGGCUUAACCUGGGAAUGGCAUUUGGGACUGCAAGGCUCGAGUGCGGCAGAGGAGACUGGAAUUCCUGGUGUAGCAGUGAAAUGCGUAGAUAUCAGGAGGAACACCGAUGGCGAAGGCAGGUCUCUGGGCUGACACUGACGCUCAUGCACGAAAGCGUGGGGAGCAAACAGG